AUCCACGAGGCACAUGAUAUACAUGGUGCAGCAGAUAUGGCAAAUGCCUGCAAUACCCUUGGAAGACCUUGUUGUAUUCAGUUUGUAUUAUUGUGAGCCAGGACCUAUGUAACCUCUGUAGAGGGAGAUGUGACAGAUGUAGGACCAGGACAUUCAAAAGACUAUAAAUUAAAGCAAAUUCCUCAACUCCAGUUAUGCAAAACCCCUGCCUUUUGAAACUAUGCCCUGCUGACUGAGUCACUGGCUGCUGAUUACUUGUUGCAGAAGGCCCAGAUCAAAGGCCCAAGCUAAUUCUGGAUCAAAGGUGGAUACACACUUGUAACCACAGGGAAAACCCAGCUGUAGGACUUGAAGACCAAAACUCUGCAGAGCCUAAGGUUGGAGCUGGGGUGACGUCUGGUACAACAAUGGAGCAGCCAGACGCACUGAAGGCCAGUGAAGGGAAUCCACUCCCCCAACAUCUCGGAGAGAGCGUAUAUACAAUGGAGGCUGUUUGACCCACAUUAUCGCAAAAGAUCUUUCCAGCAAGCUGGAAGAAACUAUAAAGAGAAGUGACAUCACGACUUGGCCUCACCCCUCCCACAACUCAACACCUGGAAACAUGUCUAGAGGACAAAGUCUUUGAACCAGGGGAGGGUGGUCCUGGGCUGGAAGGCAGUUCCAGCCUAUGCACUGAACAUCUGUGACCAGUUUGUACCAUCUGUCAGGGUGACACACUAGUUGACUCAAAUUCUGUUUAGUUUAUAGAACUCAGACUGCAAAUUUAUUUUUGUUUCUUAGGUAACCAACUUUGAUCUCUAUGCUUGCUAAUUAUAAUCACUUAAAAUCUAUCUUUCUGUACUUAAUAAAUCUGUUUUAUAUUUUACCUAAAA